UUGUCCAUAUCUCAGCUGGUAGAGAGCACGAGACUCUUAAUCUCAGGGUUGUGGGUUCAAGCCCCACAUUGGGCAAA